rnacentral:tRNA from 1 species
CCUCUGGUAACCGAACUGGCAUAGGUACCGGACUCAAAAUCCGGGUUUUGUGGGUCCGACUCCCACCCGGAGGA